AAGGGAGAAAUUCACCGCGGUUCGACGAAGGUGACGUUUCGACGCGUGACUGCGCUCUUCGGACGCGCGGCGCCGUCGAUUCGUUUUUUUAUCGACGACGAACGCGUGCACUUUUCUCCCGGUAGGACGUCGCGAUCCGUUGGGCGUCGGUCUACGGCUGACGGUGGAGACCGCGAGUCGUUCUUCGGAACGUACGCGCGGACCCGUUUGCACCCCGACCGACUCGCUCGACGGUAUACGAACGGUUUGGGGCCGCUUUUAAAGCGUCCGACUCGCGGCUUUCGGGCCGCGACGUUCUCGGACAGACCCUAAUCGAAAACCGAUCUGCGACGCUAUAGCUUUGGGUACUUUCAGGGCCCGUCUUGAAACACGGACCAAGGAGUCUAGCAUAUACGCGAGUCAUUGGGAUUCGCUAAACCUAAAGGCGUAAUGAAAGUAAAACUUUUCCUCGUGAGAAGUUAGGGAAGACGGGCGGUUUAGCCGUUAAAAGCGGCCGUCCCGCACUCCCGGGGUGUCUCGUUCUCAUCGCGAGAUGAGGCGCACCAAGAGCGUAUACGCUGGGACCCGAAAGAUGGUGAACUAU
rnacentral:rRNA from 1 species